AACCCUAGCCGCUGCCAUGUUCUGGCCGGCAUAAGCUCGCUUGUAAUCUCCUAAAUUCUAGCAAGCAUUCCUCUUGGAGUAGUAAAUCCAUGUGACAUGUUGAGCUUCCCUUGUUUCUAAGCGCCCAUCUCUGAAAUCUCUCUCUAUUCCGUGAAUUCCCUAGCAAGGGCCUGUCACCGGCGUGGACGGCUGAAGACGGGAUGGGGACGGCCACCAACCGCAUUUAGCAGCAAGCCCGCUGACCACCUCGCAUCUCAUCCUCCACCCGCAUCCCCGCCGGAGAAAAUCGAGCCAGCCGUGGAGCAAGGCGGCCAAGCUGUGGGAGCUCAAGGUCCGCAGCCGGCACACGCAUGGCAGGGGCAGCACAAUGGAGUGCCGGAGGCGACCCAGUUCGCAUCUUCCGGGAGUGCUGCCACAGGAUUCAUGGUCGUCGCGCCGCUAGUUGCAAUGCGCCGCUUCAUCCAUAAAUCUGGUGUUAUCUGUUGCUAGUCUUGUAAUCGGGGUGUCCAUUCUUAUGCUGGUUGUGGCAGAUGUUGUCAUGCGUGUGCUGGAUUAGGUGUCAGCAGCGAUCUGGUUAUUAUGUAGGCACUCAAGUGAGCUCGCGUUCCGGCAGAUAGGGCUAAAAAUAGAGCUCCUCCAUCCUUGGUGCCUCCACAGGCUGUCAUCGCUAAUGGAUGAUGAGGGCGAGCAUCAAGAGUUGUCAUGCCGGGGGCAGUCCGAAAAUCAAGAGAGCCCCUGUGCUGGGCAGCCGGUGGGUGGUUUGUCAGAGAUUGAGCCGGCAAUCAUGUCUCGGUUGUCAGUGAAGCGUGUGCUCAAGGCUGUGCAAAAGUUUGACGAGUAUAAGAGAUGGCUUGUAUCAGAGAUUGGGUUGGGUGGAAUACUGAAGCUUCCGAUGCUCGUCAAAUUGGACCUGGUUAUGAGGAAGGUGAAGGUCAGGCCUCGCGUAAUAGCUAUUGAUGACAACAGGAAUAUUUUCUUUACUGCAGAGGAUUUCCAUAAGAUCUUCGGGGUCCCGUGCGCCAACCGAGAUGUUCAUGGCAGGGAUGCGAACAUUGCUCCUUCGUCGAUCCAAUUCAUAAAGCAGGCAAUUGGGAUGGACAAACUCAGGAUCGAAGAACCUAAAGGAGGCUGAGAGAUUCAUCAGCAGAGACAUUUCUGAGGAAUCUAGUAAGAUUGAGAAGGAUUGUUUUCAGUUUGCGCUUGUGAUUUUCAUCAUGGGUUACAUGCUAGAGCUGUGAACAAAGCAUGACUUCAUGACAAUUGAUUUCUGGGGUGUAGUGGCUAAUCCGGAAGUCAUAACUCGAUUCAAUUGGUAUGAGUAUGCUAUUCAGAAUUUGAUGGUAGCGGUCAUGAAGGUGAAGAGUGAUUUUCAGAACAAUGUACCAACGAUUCAUCUAUCUGGAUGCCACCUUUUCUUCCAGAUUUUCUUGUUGGACAACAUUGAUCUUGGGAUUUUCAAUACGAUCUACCUUGUGUGCAGUGCUUCGAACAGAAAACACUUCGGCAAAUGAUCACAAUGGCGGAUAGUAUGUAGUAGGGCAUGCCGAGUUAUUUGCCAGCAGCCGUAAAGCGGUCAUGUGCUAAGUGGCAGCAUACACUUGUUGAGGCCACACCAAAACUCUAGAUUGUUGUGUGUUCUAUAAGCACCGACUUGGAUUGUCCGUAUUUUGUAUGUAGGUACGACCGCCAGAUUCAGCGUGCUAUUACCGGGUAGCCGUGACGAGACAGUCAUACACUGAUGGUGAUGUAAUGGCAUCUUCAUCCGAGCCAGUAUCUUCAAGGGCGCCUGCGACAGCAUGCGAGCAUACACCGGAUUUGCAUGUCAAUAUGAGGGUGCCACCGUCAGGCUCGCUGGGGGACCCCAUGUCGGCACAUCGUUCGAUGGUGCCCAGUGAGUUCGGCAAUCAUCUUCGCCAGGCUUGCGUGGGAGAUCCUGUACGAGACGUUUAUGAUUCGUCAGUGGGGGGGGGGGGGGAGUGCACGCUCAGCAUGCCGCUGCUCCGCAACAGGAUGUAGUCUGAUAUGCUUUGUUUUGCUGACAAAAUUAUAUCUCUGGUGUGGGGGGCGAGCAAAGUCUUUGUGUAACUUUGGCUUGUGACCUUAUUGAGCUUGAUGCUGAAGCAGUACAAUGCAAAGUGCACGCUCAGCAUGCCGCUGCUCCGCAACAGGAUGCAGUCUGAUAUGUUUGUUUUGCUGACAAAAUUGUAUCUCUGGUCAGAGAUCGCUGUAGAUGUUGUGUCAACCGUGGCUUGACAAAGUGCAUUACAAUAGCUGAUUGUGACAACCGAUAUGCAGGUAUAUUCGCUGGAGAAAUUAUCGAUCUAUAUCAUAAAUAAAAUGAUUUUUGCUACUUCUUGAGCUUGCGUUGGUUUUUCCCUUGAAGAGGAAAGGUUGAUGCAGCAAAGUUGAG